GCAGCGGUAGUUCAGUUGGUUAGAAUACCGGCCUGUCACGCCGGGGGUCGCGGGUUCGAGCCCCGUC
rnacentral:tRNA from 1 species